GGACACGUAGCUCAGCAGUAGAGUGUUUACUUAGCAUGUAUGAGGCCCUAGGUUCAACCCCCAGUCAGUCCC
rnacentral:tRNA from 1 species